rnacentral:misc_RNA from 1 species
GCAGGAUCAUAAAUAAAAAAAGAUGGGAUUAUUAUAAUGAAAGUGUAUACUGACAUUAUAAUAAUCUUGUCUAUGUUCUAAAUACAAAGUACCUUCACGAGGUUUAGAAUGAGUGAUAUAAGGAAAGUUAUAUUAGCUAAAUUUAUGUAUGUUAUAAAUGGGUUGAUUGUAAAGGUGUUUGUGUAGUUAGGUGUAGAGAAAUUGUAUUAAGGUAUAUAUUAUGUAGAGAGAUAAAAAUUAUUGUUAGCGGUUAUAAGCAAGUUUGUUUACUUGUAACAACACAUUAAUUUCAACA